UGUGCUCACUUUUGCAUACAUUAUACUAAAAUUAGAAUGGUAUAGAGAUUAGCAUGGCCCCUUCGUAAAGAUGACAAUGCAAAUUCGUGAAUUGUUCCAUGUUGGA
ensembl:snRNA U6 U6 spliceosomal RNA